rnacentral:lncRNA from 10 species
ACUUUGUACUAUGCACUUGCUGCCAAGGGAACCCAGCAAAGAGCCCUUUUGAGAGACACAGAAAUGGAAAGCACGUAUUAAGGAUGUGGAGCUACCCCAGCAGCCCUGACCUGCUGACCUCCAGACUGUGACAUGGAAACAGAUCAACUUCUCUCUUGGCAUUAAGUCUGACACUGGGGACAUCAAAACGGAUAACACAUGGCCCUGGAUCUCAAGGAACCUGCCGCCUGAUGGAAAAUAAAAGAGAGAGUCACACUUAAAUGAAUGAUUUCAGCAUAAUGAA